rnacentral:lncRNA from 1 species
AGUCCUCAGCAGCUUUAGCAUGGGCAACAAAUUAAGUCUCUGUAAAAGGCCCAAAGGACAGGGUUUGGUGAGAUUCUGGAGAGCUGGAAACAUGGAGGUUGACAGGAAUGUAAAGAAGAACUCAUUUACAUGCCAGGAGGGUGGAACACCCCAAUUCCAUGAGGAUAACUGCUCCUGUACUCCAGACCUCACCCCAUGUGUCUCUUCAUCUGGCUGGUUAUUUGUCCUUUAAGAUCUCCUUACUCAACCAGUAAAUAAUCUAAAAAUGUGGAACUCAGAGACUAGAGUGAUGGUUAUCGGGGGCUUGGAAGAGUGUGAGAUAUGGGAAGAUGUUUGCCAAAAAGUACAAUGUUUCAGGGGUGUCUUUACAUUGUUUUAGUCUUGAACUAGAAGAUGAAAGCAUCAAAUAAAGAAAUAUACUGUGGGUAUAUGGAUUACAAAAAAAGCCCAAAUCUGCUCUUCUGACUCUGCAUCAGUGCAUGUCAAUACCAUCCAAGUUAUGACUCAAGAUGGAAACAAGAAAGUCAUCCUUCACAUUUGCCUGCCCCUUAAUUUUCACUGAGUCUCUUAAAGAUUAUUCCUGAAA